rnacentral:rRNA from 1 species
UGGGGAAUAUUGCGCAAUGGGGGAAACCCUGACGCAGCAACGCCGCGUGAAGGAUGAAGGAUUUUGGUCUGUAAACUUCUUUAAUCUGUGAAGAAAAAAAUGACGGUAGCAGAGGAAUAAGCCCCGGCUAACUACGUGCCAGCAGCCGCGGUAAUACGUAGGGGGCAAGCGUUGUCCGGAUUUACUGGGUGUAAAGGGAGUGUAGGCGGGUAUUUAAGUCAGAUGUGAAAGCCACGGGCUCAACUUGUGGACUGCAUUUGAAACUGGAUAUCUUGAGUGUCGGAGAGGUAAGUGGAAUUCCUAGUGUAGCGGUGAAAUGCGUAGAUAUUAGGAGGAACACCAGUGGCGAAGGCGACUUACUGGACGAUAACUGACGCUGAGGCUCGAAAGUGUGGGGAGCAAACAGG